AGUCGACGGGGGCGUGAUGUGCGAGAGGGAUAGUUUACUAGACUUCAAACUUUUCACGCCCUAGUGGCGGACGGGUGAGUAACGCGUGGGUAACCUGCCAUAUACAGGGGGGUAACACUUAGAAAUAGGUGCUAAUACCGCAUAAGCGCACAGGGGCGCAUGCCCCGGUGUGAAAAACUCCGGUGGUAUAUGAUGGACCCGCGUCUGAUUAGCCAGUUGGCAGGGUAACGGCCUACCAAAGCGACGAUCAGUAGCCGGCCUGAGAGGGCGGACGGCCACAUUGGGACUGAGACACGGCCCAAACUCCUACGGGAGGCAGCAGUGGGGGAUAUUGCACAAUGGGGGAAACCCUGAUGCAGCGACGCCGCGUGAGUGAAGAAGUAUUUCGGUAUGUAAAGCUCUAUCAGCAGGGAAGAAAAUGACAGUACCUGACCAAGAAGCCCCGGCUAACUACGUGCCAGCAGCCGCGGUAAUACGUAGGGGGCAAGCGUUAUCCGGAUUUACUGGGUGUAAAGGGAGCGUAGACGGUUAUGUAAGUCUGGAGUGAAAGCCCGGGGCCCAACCCCGGGACUGCUUUGGAAACUGUGUAACUGGAGUACAGGAGGGGCAGGCGGAAUUCCUGGUGUAGCGGUGAAAUGCGUAG
rnacentral:rRNA from 1 species